rnacentral:rRNA from 1 species
GUGGGGAAUAUUGGACAAUGGGCGCAAGCCUGAUCCAGCAAUGCCGCGUGGGUGAAGAAGGCCUUCGGGUUGUAAAGUUCUUUAGCCGAUGAUUAUAAUGACUGUAGUCGGAAAAUAAGCCCCGGCUAACUUCGUGCCAGCAGCCGCGGUAAUACGAAGGGGGCGAGCGUUAUUCGGAAUCACUGGGCGUAAAGCGUGCGUAGGCGGUCUCGUAAGUUAGGAGUGAAAGCCCAGGGCUCAACCUUGGAAUUGCUCUUAAUACUGCAAGGCUAGAAUCUCGGAGAGGAUAGCGGAAUUUCCAGUGUAGCAGUGAAAUGCGUAGAUAUUGGAAGGAACACCAGUGGCGUAAGCGGCUAUCUGGACGAGUAUUGACGCUGAGGCACGAAAGCGUGGGGAUCAAACAGGAUUAGAAACCCUGGUAGUCC